UACAGAGGGUGCUAGCGUUGUCCGGAAUUACUGGGCGUAAAGCGUGUGCAGGCGGUCUGUUAAGACAGGUGUGAAAUCCCCGGGCUUAACCUGGGAAUUGCGCUUGUUACUGGCAGACUAGAGUGCGUCAGAGGGAGGUGGAAUUCCACGUGUAGCAGUGAAAUGCGUAGAGAUGCGGAGGAACACCGAUGGCGAAGGCAGCCUCCUGGGAUGACACUGACGCUCAUACACGAAAGCGUGGGGAGCAAACAGG
rnacentral:rRNA from 1 species